UCCACCCCGGUCCACCAUCAAGAUGACGUCAACACGGGGGCCACUCGCAACACCCACAAUUGGCUCAAACGCGUCACGUGGUCACGCAAUAUCUGUCAAUUUCCUUCAUGAAAUGGCAUUUCUACGUUAAUAUGUUUUUGUUACAGAGCCUCAAAAAGAAAAAUAUACCCUGCAUUUAUCACCUGCAACAGUUUCUACGAUUUUCUUUUCAAUCUGUACACGGCGUUCGAUAUAUGCUUCCGUAUCCGGUCAGCUGUAAUGGAUGCCGUAUGCCGAGCUUGCGAACUGCGAACUUGUGUGACUCCCGGUUCAUCCUCUUUGUUCGGGUCAUUGGGUUGGUGUUGGUCACCAUAUUCUGAACGUUUCACCUAUCGUUGCGGUGUACUGUUCUUGAUCUGCUGCGAAGCGAUGAACCGCAACGGCAGUCACUCGCCUCAGCGAACUUCUGUCUGCUGCAUCUCAAAGGAGCAUGGGGACCUGAUGAUACCUUCAACUAAAGAAACCAAAUGUGCUCUCGUGUGGUCCUGACGGAAAAGUAGUAUCAACAAGAACCCUCCACUUUUUCGACCAAGUUAUCGUUAUGAGAUCCUUCUGAUGGCUUCUUACUAGGCUAUGCCGCUCCGAAGCAUUGAGAUGACGAAGCGUCGUGGUAGCUGCACCUCUGCCUUCGAAAGAUGAAUCAGUCAUUCCACACUGUGCUUACUGGCUUUGUGUAGAGUCUGGCAAAUCCGACAGACUUGGACUGCCUUUUUCAAGAAAGUUUGAAAUAGCAUCCCUUAUGCACCUGCAUUUCAAUUCCAAUCUGUAUUACAAGAAUGACACCACUCAACAGAGAUGAACAUCUGAAAGUGAAAGAGCUGGAAUGAAGAUACGUUAAUCUGUGUCAAAGGUUCUUAGUAUGUGUGCGAGUCGAGGACAUAGGUCUCAAGCUUAUUCCUGUCUUCAGAAGAGGUGACAACUAUGCUCCUUCUAUCUAUUAACCAGCUCCACUUUUUAGGGUUCCCUGUAAACUAAUGGAGCACAUCAUGUACUACCACGUUGUUAACUAAGUUGACUCUGCCAAUUUCUUUUUUUAAAUUCCAGCAUGGCUUUAGAAAAGGGUAUUCAGGCAAAACUAACGUAGUGGAAUUCGUUCACAGCAUUUCAAACUGUCUUGAUUUCUGGGUCCAUGUAGAUGUAGUAUUCUUUUUAUUUUGUAAGGGCUUUUGACACUGUGCUCUACGCUCGCGUGUUGGCCAAAGUAGCCUAAUUAAAAUUUGAUCCUGCUACCUGGAUAUGCAGUUUCUCAACUAACCGUAACUGUGGCGACAACUCGUGAGGAGAACCUAUCAUAUCGCCACCAUGCAGCAUUUGUUAUAUUACAAUCGCUUCACAUUUUAAUCUAGUCAAAAGCAAGGCCUUUUGGUGAUCGGUCUUGUAUAAUUACGUGCCCCUCCGUUAUGUAACACCACACUGGGUUCUUCAAUCUAUGAGAGAGAAAUAAAUAUAUUGCCAAGUAAAUUGUCUACAAGGCUCGUUAUUCCAUUUCGCCACACUACCACAAGCAAUUGUUAGAGUAGUGGCCCAGGGUAUGAAGCUCGCCACUAAUCAUCAUUCAAACAAAGUUCAUAAUGUAAAAUGCUUUACUCAGAACACUGGCUUAACACAACAAUUAAGAAUAAAGAGAGUAAACGUUUCAUUGCCUAUCCAGGUGGCAUCAUCCCUCCAACAGAGAACAAUCAAAAACAACAUCAAAGGAGUCAAAUCGGUGGUCCGCAUUCCUUUCAUCCAAUAUAUUUCAUACGCUAUUUGGAGGGCACUGUGCCCAUCAGGCAUUUUGACUGUGCAUAUCAAGUUGAGUGCAUAGAAUCUGAUGCAACCUACAUUGGCGAGAUAGACAAAAGACGUGGGACAAGACUAAAAGAGCCAGUUGCCAGGGCUACUAAUGCUUAGCUUAACUAAACAGGACCGAAUCAGUCUACCACUGCUGUCCUAAGGGACAUAUAUUUUGAUGGUGCAGUAACCUUUGCUCAUGACUAGCGAUGGGACCCUAGAAAGUUCUUAGAAUCCUGCUUUAUCAGGCGUGAUGCUUCAGCCUGUAAUACAUACCGUGGCCCCCUAUCGGAUGUGUAAGAUUCCCUCUUAGAUAGGCUGACGUGCUCAUCUUUGGCCUCUGUUGUACUGAUGAUGCCACCCGGAUAGGCGACAAAACGUUUACGCUCUGUUUUUAUUCGUUGUGUUCAGCGGUGUUUGCAGUAAAGGACGCUACAUUAUGAGGUUGUCACCCGGCUUUUGGAAUAUAUUUUCAAAUAAAGUUGUUUUACAAAGCUCAAUACAUUGCAGAAAUCAUUCUUGUUGCCUAUUGUUUUGGGGGUGCCAUUCUAGCAGUCACAUGAAGCACUGAAGGGCCAAUUUAAAAAGUAAAGGCAGUCUGAUUUAUGUUCUUGCUGACAUGGCACAGCGUAUGUACGAGGUAGCUCCAUUUCAGAAGCCUGAGAACACUCAAAGCAAUUAGUGUGCUAGCAUCAGAUAUGGUGUACAGCAUUACAUAUUUGCUUUUGCUAGGGCAACUCAGAAGGGUGGAUAGAAAGGCAGUUACAACCUGUUUCCACAAAAGACACUCAGAUUCAUUAGCAAUUUCCUCUAAGAGAGCCAAGGCUUUUUCUAGAUUACUAGAACAUGGGUACCUGGUUAUAAAUAACAAGAAUUCAUCUACCAGAAGUCAGUGUUUCACACACCCUGCUUUCCAUCAACACUAUUAAAAGGUGUGACCCCCAAACCUGCACAAAAUUCCUGGAGAGUCUUUACUGGACACUGUUGCUGUCCCUCUCACCAGGUGCUCCCUAUGAACCCGAUUCAGUUCUGGAUGCACUGCCUGAGCUAACUUCAGCAUGCUUUCCCAACACGAAUGGUAUAUGCUAUGAGGAGUGUUGUACUUACUGAAAGCAACAUGAAAUGCUGUACCUUGACAGGUAACGUUGAUAUCCUUCUUAAGACCGUAGAGAGAUGUUCCUUGCUCCCUUUCUUCCAAAUCUUACUAUCAGACGCAAGCCCACUUGCCACCAAGCCAAUGAGAUGUGCCUCACAGUCAGUGCAAUCAAGGGAAUCAAUCACUGAGGCUCAGAAAAGUUGUUUUCCAUCGGGAUCUGAUCCAGCACUGAGCCGUGAGUAGCCCCGUGAAAGUACCAAGGUUUCUUCGAAUUUUAAAUGUGCCAGCAUUUGUUUUCCUCCCCUCCUUCUUUUUAUGUAGUAGCUGAUUACUUUAGCCUUGUACUGCUUUGGAGAUUGUG